rnacentral:misc_RNA from 1 species
GGUGAAGAACGCAGCGAAAUGCGAUAAGUAAUGUGAAUUGCAGAAUUCAGUGAAUCAUCGAAUCUUUGAACGCAUCUUGCGCUCCUUGGUAUUCUGAGGAGCAUGCCUGUUUGAGUGUCAUUAAAUUCUCAACUACACUGACUUUGAAUUGGUGUGGCUUGGAUUUGGGGGGAAAAUUGUUGUGGGCUUUUUGUAUAGUCUGCUCCCCUGAAAUUGAUUAGCGGUACCUUUGUGGAACUGUCUACAGGUGUGAUAAUUAUCUACAUCUUAGACAUCUGCUGGAAUGCUGCUUUCUAAACCUUACUUGUAUUGACAAUCUUGACCUCAAAUCAGGUAGGACUACCCGCUGAACUUAAGCAUAUCAAUAAGCGGAGGA